UACGUAGGGUGCAAGCGUUGUCCGGAAUUAUUGGGCGUAAAGAGCGUGUAGGCGGCCCGGUAAGUCUGUUGUGAAAGUCCAGGGCUCAACCCUGGAAUGCCGAUGGAUACUGCCGGGCUAGAGUUCGGAAGAGGCGAGUGGAAUUCCUGGUGUAGCGGUGGAAUGCGCAGAUAUCAGGAGGAACACCUAUAGCGAAGGCAGCUCGCUGGGACGACACUGACGCUGAGACGCGAAAGCGUGGGGGAGCGAACAGG
rnacentral:rRNA from 1 species